CAGUCGAGCGAAUGGAUUAAGAGCUUGCUCUUAUGAAGUUAGCGGCGGACGGGUGAGUAACACGUGGGUAACCUGCCCAUAAGACUGGGAUAACUCCGGGAAACCGGGGCUAAUACCGGAUAACAUUUUGAACCGCAUGGUUCGAAAUUGAAAGGCGGCUUCGGCUGUCACUUAUGGAUGGACCCGCGUCGCAUUAGCUAGUUGGUGAGGUAACGGCUCACCAAGGCAACGAUGCGUAGCCGACCUGAGAGGGUGAUCGGCCACACUGGGACUGAGACACGGCCCAGACUCCUACGGGAGGCAGCAGUAGGGAAUCUUCCGCAAUGGACGAAAGUCUGACGGAGCAACGCCGCGUGAGUGAUGAAGGCUUUCGGGUCGUAAAACUCUGUUGUUAGGGAAGAACAAGUGCUAGUUGAAUAAGCUGGCACCUUGACGGUACCUAACCAGAAAGCCACGGCUAACUACGUGCCAGCAGCCGCGGUAAUACGUAGGUGGCAAGCGUUAUCCGGAAUUAUUGGGCGUAAAGCGCGCGCAGGUGGUUUCUUAAGUCUGAUGUGAAAGCCCACGGCU
rnacentral:rRNA from 1 species